UCGAACGGUAACGCGGGGGCAACCCUGGCGACGAGUGGCGAACGGGUGAGUAAUACAUCGGAACGUACCCAGUAGUGGGGGAUAGCUCGGCGAAAGCCGGAUUAAUACCGCAUAUGCCUACGGGUGAAAGCGGGGGACCGCAAGGCCUCGCGCUAUUGGAGCGGCCGAUGUCGGAUUAGCUUGUUGGUGGGGUAAAAGCCUACCAAGGCGACGAUCCGUAGCUGGUCUGAGAGGACGACCAGCCACACUGGGACUGAGACACGGCCCAGACUCCUACGGGAGGCAGCAGUGGGGAAUUUUGGACAAUGGGCGAAAGCCUGAUCCAGCAAUGCCGCGUGUGUGAAGAAGGCCUUCGGGUUGUAAAGCACUUUUGGCGGGAACGAAACAGCGCUUGCUAAUACCGGGCGCGAAUGACGGUACCCGCAGAAUAAGCACCGGCUAACUACGUGCCAGCAGCCGCGGUAAUACGUAGGGUGCGAGCGUUAAUCGGAAUUACUGGGCGUAAAGCGUGCGCAGGCGGCUUUGUAAGACAGAUGUGAAAGCCCCGGGCUUAACCUGGGAAGUGCAUUUGUGACUGCAAGGCUAGAGUGCGUCAGAGGGAGGUGGAAUUCCGCGUGUAGCAGUGAAAUGCGUAGAGAUGCGGAGGAACACCGAU
rnacentral:rRNA from 1 species